GACGAACGCUGGCGGCGUGCUUAACACAUGCAAGUCGAACGGAGUGGCGAACGGGUGAGUAACACGUGGGUGAUCUGCCUUGCACUUCGGGAUAAGCUUGGGAAACUGGGUCUAAUACCGGAUAGUGCAAGAUGAGCUCUCGGCCUAUCAGCUCGUUGGUGGGGUAAUGGCCUACCAAGGCGUCGACGGGUAGCCGGCCUGAGAGGGUGUACGGCCACAAUGGGACUGAGGUACGGGCCAAACUCCGACGGGAGGAAGCGGUGGGGAAUAUUGCACAAUGGGCGGAAGCCUGAUGCAGGGACGAAGGGUGGGAGAUGAAGGCCUUCGGGUUGUAAACUCCUUUCGACAGGGACGCGGUACCUGUAUAGGAAGCACCGGCUAACUACGUGCCAGCCGCCGCGGUAAUUC
rnacentral:rRNA from 1 species